GACUGUAUAGCUCAGUGGCAGAGUGCCUGCUUAGCAUGCACAAGGUCCUGGGUUCAAUCCCCAGUACCGCCA
rnacentral:tRNA from 1 species